rnacentral:rRNA from 1 species
CAGUAGCCGCGGUAAUACGAAGGGUGCAAGCGUUAAUCGGAAUUAUUGGGCGUAAAGGGCUCGUAGGCGGUUUGUCGCGUCGGGAGUGAAAACUCAGGGCUCAACCCUGAGCGUGCUUCCGAUGCGGGCAGACUAGAGGGAUGCAGGGGAGAACGGAAUUCCUGGUGUAGCGGUGGAAUGCGCAGAUAUCAGGAGGGACACCGGUGGCGAAGGCGGUUCUCUGGGCAUUACCUGACGCUGAGGAGCGAAAGCAUGGGGAGCGAACAGGAUUAGAUACCCGCGUAGUCCCUGUCUCUUAUAC